rnacentral:rRNA from 1 species
UACGGAGGGUGCAAGCGUUAUCCGGAUUUACUGGGUUUAAAGGGUGCGUAGGUGGGUAGGUAAGUCAGUGGUGAAAUCUUCGAGCUUAACUCGGAAACUGCCAUUGAUACUAUUUAUCUUGAAUACUUUGGAGGUAAGCGGAAUAUGUCAUGUAGCGGUGAAAUGCUUAGAUAUCAGGAGGAACACCAAUAGCGAAGGCAGCUCGCUGGGACGUUACUGACACUGAGGCGCGAAAGCGUGGGGAGCGAACAGG